rnacentral:rRNA from 1 species
AUUGAACGCUGGCGGCAGGCUUAACACAUGCAAGUCGAGCGGGGUGAUGGUGCUUGCACUAUCACGUAGCGGCGGACGGGUGCGUAACGCUUAGGAAUCUGCCUAUUAGUGGGGGACCACACCUCGCAAGGGAUGCUAAUACCGCAUACGUCCUACGGGAGAAAGCAGGGGAUCACUUCUGACCUUGCGCGAAUAGAUGAGCCUAAGUCGGAGUAGCUAGUUGGUGGGGUAAAGGCCUACCAAGGCGACGAUCUGUAGCGGGUCGGAGAGGGUGAUCCGCCACACUGAGACGGAGACACGGCACAGACUCCUACGGGAGGCAGCAGUGGGGAAUAUUGGACAAUGGGGGGAACCCUGAUCCAGGCAUGCGGCGUGUGUGAAGAAGGCCUUAUGGUUGUAAAGCACUUUAAGCGAGGAGGAGGCUCUUUUGGUUAAUACCCAGAAUGAGUGGACGUUACUCGCAGAAUAAGCAACGGCUAACUCUGUGCCAGCAGCCGCCGCCGUAA